rnacentral:snoRNA from 2 species
CUUGAAUAAUUGGAUCUGGGUCUGAAAAACUCAAAGAUUGAGUGUUGUCAUCAGCUUCAUCUCUUGUUUAACCCACGAGAUAGGAGUUAAAUAACAGCACUACAUAU